rnacentral:lncRNA from 1 species
ACAUCUACAGAUACUGUGUGUUAUGACUGUACUGGUGAUACCUAUUCAGAUGGAUCAUUUACAUCCUGCCAGACACACACACAGUAAGUAUGGCUCAUGUAUAAUGGUUAUUUCCUUCAAAUACUGCAAAAUGUGAACAGUUUUCAUAAUGUAAAACUGAAAGUUGGAUGACUAAAUUGUCGAUUUACCAGUGGUCUAUUUCUCUUAUUAUAGAUGUGAUACCUUGAAGCUUCAGCAAAUUAAACCUGGAACUCAUUGGUCCGACUUUGAAUGUGGACCACAGACCUCCCCUCCCAUAGCAAUAAUAUCUGCUGUGGUGGUGGGGGUGGUACUAGCUGUGAUAUCAGCAGUGAUGGCAGUAGCUAUUAGAAGAAAAAGAAAAGCUCCUGUAUCUGGGAGGACUUUUCCAGAGACACAAAGCCCUACAGAGGUAUCAGACACAGAGGGAACAUCAAUGCUGUUUGUGGGAACAAGAACAGGUAAGGUGGCCUAUAACAUCAGAAUGGUACAGUAUGCCUGUUCAUGA